UCUCGGCCACGCCUCCCGGCGAGCGGGCCGGGCGCACGCGCUGCAGACCGAGGUGGGCGGGGCGACCAGAGGAGCGAGGCCAUGCCGGCCCAAGUGUCGGUCAUCCUUCCCGUGCACGAUGCUGAGCCCUGGCUGGACGAGUGUCUGAGGUCCGUUUUGCAGCAGGACUUCCAAGGCUCCAUGGAGCUGUCGGUUUUUAAUGAUGCCAGUAAGGACAAGUCCAUGACUAUCAUUGAAAAAUGGAAAGCGAAGCUAGAAGGUUCCGGUAUCCUCGUGGUCAUUGGAGGGCACAACUGUCCUUCUCCCCGAGGAGUUGGAUAUUCUAAAAAUCAAGCAAUAGCACAGAGCUCUGGGUCUUACCUUUGCUUUUUGGAUUCGGACGAUGUGAUGAUGCCGCAGAGAAUCAGGCUGCAACACGAAGCUGCCGUCCGGCACCCCACGAGCAUUAUAGGCUGCCAAGUGAGGAGAGAGCCGCCCAACUCCACUGAACGGUAUACACGUUGGAUCAACCAGCUGGCGCCCGAUCAGCUCCUGACCCAGGUUUUCACAUCCCACGGCCCGACUGUGGUCAUGCCCACGUGGUUCUGCUCUCGCGCGUGGUUUUCUCAUGUCGGCCCGUUCGACGAGGGAGGGCGCGGCGUACCCGAGGACCUGCUGUUCUUCUAUGACCACCUGCGCAGGGGCGGCGGGGUUGUCCGCGUGGACCAGAGCCUGCUGCUGUACCGCUUCCGGCCUGGUUCGGCCACACAGGCCAUCCUGGAGAGCACCAUCUGGACCCACCGAGUCUGCUUCCUGGAAGAGCGGGCUUUGCGGCACUGGGCCUCCUUCACCAUCUGGAAUGCGGGCCGGCAGGGCCGCCGCCUCUACCGCAGCCUGUCCAAGGGGGCGCGGCGCAAGGUGGUUGCCUUCUGUGAUGUGGACGAGAAGAAGAUCAAGAAGGGCUUUUACUGCUACGAGGAGUCUCAGGAAAGGCCAAAGUCCCGGGUGCCCAUCCUGCACUUCCGAGCUGCCCGGCCCCCCUUUGUCAUCUGUGUGAAGCUGUAGUGGACACCAAACCCCAGGCAGCUUGGAUCGAGCCAGACCUACUGUUCCUCCCACAGGACCUCACAGGGGGUGCACUGGAGGACAACCUGAGGUCCCUGCACCUGCAGGAGGGCCGGGACUUCCUUCACUUCAGCUGACGCUCCUCAGUGGCCACACCCAGGUACCUGCACGGUUUUCUGCAGCCAAGGUCCUGACACUGUGAUCCCUCCCCGACCUGCUGCCGGUGUGAGACGGGGGCAUCUGACAACAUGGGUCUCUCGAAGGGCAGGAAAGCAGCUCAGCCGAGC